GAAGGAAGGAAGGAAGGAAGGAAGGAAAGAAAGAAGGAAAGAAAGAAAGAAAGAAAGAAAGAAAGAAAGAAAGAAAGAAAGAAAGAAAGAAAGAAAGAAAGAAAGAAAGAAAGAAAGAAAGAAAGAAAGAAAGAAAGAAAGAAAGAAAGAAAGAAAGAAAGGAAGGAAAAAAAAAAAGAAAAAAAGAAAAAAAGAAAAAACAAAAGAAAUAUCAAAGAGAGCCAGGUUCCAACCUGGAACCAGGUUCCAACCAGGUUCCAACUGCUAGACUGUUUGUCCAGCUCCCCAUGUCUUCUAGCACAAGCAGCAUUGCAGUGUGAAGCUUCUGGUUCAUUUAUGCACAGGAAACCUCUUAUUCGGGUGCUACUGAAAUGAGAGCUGUUUCUGCAGGCAAAAGAGGAAGAAAGCUCUGUCACAUGCAGUGUCACACCAGUGAAGUCAUGCACUGGCAUAACAGCAAGUGUUGUCAGUUGUCAAAGGCCAUCUGUAGCCAGCAGACUUAAACUGUCAUCCUGCAAAAAGAUGCAAACAAGCCUAAUGGGAGAUUGCUUUAUCCUCUUUCUGGCAUUCAAUCAAAUGUUCCCUGAACAGACAUAGAAAACAAAGGAUCACUUUUUUUUUUUUUCCUAAAGAAAAACAUUAUUUUUGUGGCAGUUUAUAUAUUUUCAAAAUGACAGGAAAAAUAGGAAGAAUCAAAGAAAAUUCCAUAACCAAAGGGUCACUCGUCAGCUGUGGAUUGCAUGUAACUCUGUUGCUCCAGGGAGAAAGGGAUUGCUCCACUGCUUGCUCUGCAGAAUAGACUCACAGACUUUUGAAUCAUUUAUGCGUUUGCUAUGUAAGUAAUUUGACACUCUACUGUUGUGCUUCCUCUUUUUUUAGGGGGGAGGGGAAGAAGUUAUUUUUAUGGUACCAAACUCUGAGGAAAAUGCUAGAAAAAUGUACAAAAUAAGAGAUCCAUUCCUUGGAGCAGGAAAUGGAUGCACACUUGGAUAUGAUACAUUAAGCAUUCUUUACAAAGUGUAGUGAUGGCUCCCUGUACACUUCAAAUAUCCUCCAGCAGGUAUCAGAUCUUCAAAUCAACCUGCAACUGAAGAGAGGAGACGUGCAGGGGGAGAGGAACACUUUCCAUCACAUGCAGGCCCCAGUGGUGUAAGGGGGGAAAUACUCUGUUCCAUAUUCCUGGAGGCAAAGACAAAUGUGCUUGUUUGGUUGGUUCUAGCGCGGACAGGGUCCAAAGAAGAAGAGCACUGAAAAGUGAAAAAUGAGUCUUGGGAUCUGUGCCUGGUACUGAUGCAAAUGAAGGUGGAACUAUACAAACAGCAACACAAUUGGGCCAUUCAUCAUUCCUUCAUUAGCAGCUUUUCUUCACAACACCCCCAUCAAAGAAAGAAAACCUCCCUUCUUUUUAUUAAAGAUCAAGAGGAUUGAAAAGAAAGCGUAAUUGGCAGAGGAGACAUGCAGUGACAUGGAGACUGCAUGCUCAGCCUGGCCUCGUUGAAGGAGUGCCUUGUAUUGCACUGAGACACAGCACCUGCACUGCAAGAGCAGCACUGAUGCAACUCACAGUCUGCCAGCACGUCAGCUGAAAAAGAGCUCUGCAGAAGUGGGAUCAUGUGAAAUUAAUACUUCCAAACAAAAAUGCAACAAUACCAACAUCCCGCCCAACUAAGGUAUCCACUUGUCUACAACCUUGUCUACAACCAAGCAACCCUGAAAUGGGGUACUUCAAGAAGUAUGAACAGCGACCAUGCUCAAACCAACUGAAUGGGUCUUCUGUUCUCAAUGGGUGAAUUCAACACCUGUCCACACCAACCUCACAGGUGGAGCUGCAGCAGCAAUUAUCAAAACGAGUUCUGAAGAUAAGUUCAUUCAACACCAAAUCAAAGCCUGGAAGUAGCAGCAAGCUAACUAGCUGUGUACAGAAGCCCUGCAAAAACGCAUCCAUCCAUCUUGUUGACAGAAGGGGCUCACACACACAAACUGCUUCCGCAUGAGAAUGGGAAGACAGCACAUGUUGCUCUGUACAACAGCAUACAGGGACCAGAAAUUGAUGGCAUGCAGCUGUGGGGGCAAAAUCUCUUCUCAGCCUGCCCAUGGAGACUUGAAAGGCUGACAGAGGAAAACUUCAUUUAAGCAGUGAUAUCAAAGACAUAAGUCACUGCACUGAAGCAAAGCCUCAUCUGGAACAAGGAAGGGAUUUUUUCCUUUGGCCAUGGCCAUUCCCACUGGAAUCCUGCAGUACUGCAGAGCCACUUCUCCCCACAACCAACCUCCAGACAGUUUCAGCUCUUACACAUAGCAAUCAGUGUUAUCAGUUGGAUGCAUCUCUUGCCGUUUUGCAGAUUAAUUUAGGAAGACAUGCUGUGCAGAGAUUCUUCAGAGAUGCAUGGAAGAAAUGUUCAGGAAAGAAGACGAUAGGACCCUGCUGGCUCUGCUCUCAGCAUUCGUGGGCGCCAUCUGGCGGUCCUUUAUUAAUUAUUGUAAUAUUUUAUGAUAUAUGCCCUGAUCAAAACGACUUGGUCUUGA
ensembl:lncRNA